GGAUAAUCAAAUCAAGAAUACUUAAACCAUAUUAAAAGCUACCCACCCAAGAUUUUAUCAAUACAUCCUGCAUCGUGAUUCUAUAAGUCAGUCAAAAUGGUAGCUUCGUAAAUCAAGCUACAAUGCAAAAUGAAGUACAACUCUGAAGAUGUAUGAUGUAUUUGAGAACUUACACCAAGCAACAAAAUGGCAUAUGCAUAAAUUGGAAAGAUUCUAGAAAGCAUAUGCAUGAAUUCAAAAGUAGGUCAAGUGUAGAAAAAUAAAGCACGAACUUGAUCAACCUCAGCAUCUAGAGAACUGUUUUACAUGUAUGUCAUCCAUACUUUGUUCAAGAGAACAUAUAACUUGCCUGAUUGCAGCACAAUAUUUCAAUUGAAGGUCUAAGCUUUUGCCAAGGCUUCAAUCCAGAUCCAGAUCGGAAAGAUCCAUCCCCGACUACUGGAAGUAGUGACUGUGACCCAGCAACGCCAGGGGCAAAAUUACCAUCAGCGUGUAAAUUAUCCAAAGGUUUAUUAUCGAGCACCAACUUUUCUACCACAUAAUUAAUAACCUAAACCAACAAAAAAAAGGGCAAAAUUACCAUCAGCAUGCAAGUUAUCCAAAGGUUUAUUAUCGAGCACCAACUUUUCUACCACAUAAUUAAUAACCUAAACCAUCAAAAAGAAGGGGAAAGCCAAGUUAAUCAGUCAAAAAUGCAUAGUCAUGUGGGAGAAAUACGCUUCCAAAGUCCACAAAAUACAAAAA
rnacentral:lncRNA from 1 species